AUAUUCUGGAGCAGCUCAUGGGCCUAGCAUUUCACGGACCAUAUUUUGGGCAGUGCUGCUACAGCAGAAAGGAAAUGGGUGACCUCUUCCUUGCUGGUAAUAGUAAGGUUGUCUGAGAGAAGAAAGGUUUGAAGGGGGGCCCAAACACCAAACUGCUUUUGAGUCAUUCCUGGGGAAGGUCAAGGUCUAUAGUGUGCCUUGUUUCACUUUAGAGUCAACAUCUCGCUAUUUGGGGGGAACGGACUUUAGAACAGAAAAAAAUAGCUGCUUGGGAGAAAGAGUUUCACUGCUAUGAGAUGUCAAGUCCCUAAAGUUAAAUGUUACUGAUGGAAGAAUACAGCUGAAGAAGAGCUCUUGGCUUGACUGAGUAGCUGAUCUCUUUACAAGAAGGGAUACAAGCCCUGCAGUGGAACUCACUGCUGAUCCUUCAGACUUGUCUUUCUAGGUUUAUCCUGCAGACCUUAUCACUGCAUAGCAGUAGUUCACGCUAACAUACAACUGCA
rnacentral:lncRNA from 1 species